GAGGGUAUAGCUCAGUAGUAGAACGCAUGCUUAGCAAGCACGAGGUGAUGGGUUCGAUCCCCAGUACCUCCA
rfam:Camelus ferus unplaced genomic scaffold scaffold1984, whole genome shotgun sequence.